GCCGCCGUAGCUCAGCUGGUAGAGCACCGGACUCAUAAUCCGGGGGUCGCGGGUUCGAAUCCCGCCGGCGGCA
rnacentral:tRNA from 2 species